rnacentral:lncRNA from 1 species
GGCACGCCAAGAUUACCUAUCCUGAUCAGAAUUAGAAAACAUCAAGAGUGACUAGUACCCACGUGAGAAACGACAUAAUUAAAUAAUUAAGCAUUAAAACAAUAAAAUUAACAAUUGGGUUGCCUCCCAAAAAGCGCAUUUUUUUAAUGUCUUUGGCUAGACAUUAUCAUAUUUUGCUCAUGGAGGAUAAAAUCUUGUGGCUCGCUUCAAUGUUUCAUCUUCAAUGUGAUCCUGGUAACCCUCAUAGAUGGAGUAAUCUUUGAGCACACGAGUUACGAUUUUCCAUGGACUAGUUGAUGGCGCCAAAUAAUCAAGCAUUGAUCGCAAUUCUUCAUCCACUCCUCCAUCAAGAGCAUUCAACGGUUUAAGAUAUUUGACCAUCGCUACUCUUAACUCAUUCCUGCCAUGAGACUCAAGAACUUCCGAUAUAACAAAAUCAAUCUCAUUAACAGAAAUCAUACAGUAAGAGUUAAGAAAAUGCUGGUUAGGGAAUGGAGGUGGUGUCACCACAUUUGAUGAUUCUUCACUGGAUUCUCUCACUUGAAUGGGUUGCGGUUGGGGUUCCAUUUCUUCCUUUUCGGCUUCUUUUUCAACUGCAUCUGUAGAUUUCUCAUUUUGACACUCUUGCAUCUCCUCAUCACUAGUCAAGCAAAUUGCACUCUCAUCUUCUUCUAGAUCAACAAUGGUUUUCGAGGGCAAUUCUUCCAUUUGAGAAGCCAAUCGAUUCAUUCUGGAUGUCAAUAGACAUAGUUGAUCUGCCAGAUAACUCAUUGCAUCCUUCAUCAUCUCAUUCCUCAUUUGUGUCUCUUGUUGGAAUUGGUAUGUAUUAGUAGCUAUUGGUUCAACUAUUUCUUCAAGAGACAUACCUGACAUAGAUGACGAUUCUUGAGACUCAUAAUGCUGAAAAUUCAUUGGCCCCGUUGUAUAAUUAUAAUUGGAGUUAUUCCACCAUCCUUGAUCAUACCCGUUUGGAUUAGGGUUAUACCACAUUUUAGACCGGGGUGAAAAAUCUCCAUAAUUAUUGAGUGGGACACUCACAUUAUCUUGAUAUUCGGGACACAUACCGGUUGAAUGAUCUCUGGCAUAACAAAUUUUACAGGUUGCAGCAGCCAUUCUUUUUCUAAUAGAGUUUAGUGCUUCUGCAUAUGCAGACUUAGCAAAAAAACUAGUCACAUCGCCUUUCCCGGAAACAAAAUCCAGUAUAUCACCAAAAUACGAAGUGUUAGAAGCCAUAAAAAAAUAAGAGAAAAAUAAAUUAAAAAUAAAAACAAGGUGAACUCGAAAAGAAACAAAUUAAUCUGACACCAGUCCCCGACAACGGCGCCAAAAAUUGACAGGUGCCGAAACUGUACAAUAAUAAAUACCUAUUCGAGAAAAAUAUAGAUUUUAUAUAUAGCAGUGAGCAGGGUCGAAUCCACAGGAAUUGGGGAUAAUUCGUUUCUUCUAGAGUCCAAAGUAUAGGGGGUUUUGAGAUUAAGUGCCAAUUAAACAAAUUAAAUGCAGGAAGUAAUUAAUUCAAAGAAAUAAUUAAGGGAAAACUCUAGCCAAGGGUACACUUCAGAAAUAGUUCAGGCACUGAUCAUUGAUUCACAGAUAAUUCCACAUUUAUUAAUAGAUUAGUUAUAGUUGUCAUGCACGCGAUAAACAACCAACCUUUCCUUAAUUUCUCGAUAGUUAAGGUACGACCGUUAACUAUUUCUCUAACCCAAAAACAACCCUAGGUACGACUGUAGGAUUUAAUUUCUAAAUUGCAUUAAUAAUUAGAAAGGCCCAAUCCUAACUAACAAACACGCUACGAGGGUUUGUUUAAACUAGAUCGUAUGCUCCCCUGACAUAAACCCAAUUACGCCAGUUGCUACUAAGAUAGAGAUAACGAUCAAUUACGGAUUCAAUUACCUCUAUUUAGCAAAAUAGCCUAUAUGAAUAAUUAAUUAUUGCGCACUAAUCAAUCAUACAUAAGGACUAUAACAAUUAAAAACAGGAAACACAUAAAUACCAAUAAAUGAGGAAGCGAUUAAAAUAAUUUCGAUCUCACAGUAAUUGUUGAACCAAAUCUUCAGUUGUCCCCUUGACUAGAAUUAAGAGGUUAGUCCUCCAUCAAUGGAGAACAACCAUGCGAAAGAGCUAAGAAAAGAAAGCUAAAACUAUACUAAAAGCCUAAACUAAAACUAUUGAUUGAUAAGAGUUCUCUGUACGUUUGUCUCCUUUUAAAAGCCAACAAUGACUAAAGCUUCUUAUCCUUGUGGUCCCCUGCUGAAAUUGAGAAUCAAACCAAAAGUGGGGCUCUACCGAAUUCCUUGCUUUUAGUUUCCUAUUGCCCGUAGGACUCCAAUCUCCUAAUCAGCAAAGGAAAUGCAAUUUCUUUGUAGCACCAUGUGGGCCCGGUUGUUUGAAAUCCCAAUUAUCUCCAAAAAGUCCCUCAUUUUUGUAGUUUUCUGUUUCACUUCCUGAAAUUGAGUCCAAUACCAAAUAUAAGUAAAUAUUAAUAAUUAAAACAAUAUUUGGCAAGGAUAAAGGGAAAAAUUAACAAUAAAAUAACCAACAAUUGACACCCUAUCACUAAAGUUAAAGGACUAGGUACUGUAGAAAUUAACCUAUCUCUUCCGUUGUCUUUUGUUCUUUACGUACUCAAUUUACCUUUUAAUCUAAUAUCCGUUAGUAAGAUUACCAAAUUUCUAUAGUGUUCAGUUACUUUUUCUCCUGAUUUUAUUGUCAUUCAGGAUUUGAAAACAAAAAGGACGAUUGGUGGAGGGCGUGAGCAUAAUGGUCUUUAUUUUCUCAAUUCUAAUGGUCCGAUUGCGUGCCCUGCUACGGUUUCUUAUCUUGAAAUUCACUGUCGUUUGAGUCAUCCGUCUCUACAAAAUUUGAAGAAGUUGGUUCCUGCUUUGAGUCAGUUGUCUUCAUUAGAAUGUGAGUCUUGUCAAUUAGGAAAGUAUCAUCGUGUUUCUUUUGCCCCUAGGGUUAAUAAACGGGUUUCGGAACCCUUUUUGUUAGUUCAUUCUGAUGUUUGGGGUCCUAACCGAAUUACUUCAAAAUUAGGUUUUAAAUAUUUUGUAAUCUUUGUUGAUGAUUUUUUCAGAAUUACAUGGCUUUAUUUAAUGAAAGAUCGUUCAGAAUUAUAUGUCAUUUUUUGUGCAUUUGUUACAGAAAUAAAGAAUCAAUUUGGUGUGCCUGUACGUAUACUUCGUAGUGAUAUUGCGAAAGAAUAUUUUUCCACUCUUUUUGAUACCUUUAUGACUAAAUUCGGUAUUCUUCAUCAGUUCUCUUGUUCUCACACUCCACAACAGAAUGGAGUUGCUGAAAGAAAAAUUGGACAUUUAAUUGAAAUUGCUCGGACACUUUUGUUGCACAUGAAUGUGCCCAAACAAUUUUGGAGUGAUGCUGUUUUAACUGCAUGUUAUUUAAUUAAUCGCAUGCCAUCUAAUAUUCUUGGAGGCCAAUUAGGGCACUCCAUUCUUUUUCCUCAUGAUCCUAUAUUUAAACUAUCUCAUCGUAUUUUUGGGUGUGUGUGUUCUGUUCAUCAGCUUACUUUCGGGGUGUAUAAAUUAGAUUCUCGUGCCAUUAAGUGUAUUUUCUUGGGAUACACACGAGCGCAAAAGGGGUAUAGAUGUUACAGUCCAGUUUUAAAUUAUUUUUUCACUUGUACUGAUGUUACUUUUUUUGAAUCCACUCCUUAUUUUAUGAAGCAAGGUAUGUCUUGUGAGUUAGACCAGUGUUCCUAUUUUCCUUCUCCUAUUUUACCAGUCCCUUUAUCUUUAUUACCUGAGUUAUCUAGUUCACCAGAUUCCACAAUUCGAUUAUCUCGUCCUAAUUUUCAAGUUUAUUCUCGUCGUUUCAUGAUUGAGAAAGAUCCUGAUAUGCUACACACUUCACCAAUUAACUUUCAAUUUUCAAAUCCAGGUAUGACGCCCUCCUGUGAGUUAGAUCUUCCUAUUGCUUUACGUAAAGGUAAGAGACAUUGUACUUCUCAUUCUAUUUCUAAUUUUGUCUCUUAUUUUCAUCUCUCUCUGUCAUAUUCUUCUUUUGUUGCUUCUCUUGAUUCGGUAUCCAUUUCUAAAAUUAUUACCCAUGCUCUCAAUGAUCCUGGUUGGAGGUUAGAUAUGCAAGAAGAGAUGCUUGCUUUGGAAAAAAAAUGGUACUUUGGGAUCAUGUUCCUCUUCCCUCUGGAAAGCCGGUUGUUGGUUGUAAGUGGGUGUAUACUAUAAAAGUACAACCUAAUUGUUCUAUUGAUAGAUUGAAGGCUCGUCUGGUAGCUAAAAGAUUUGCUCAGGUGUACGGAAUCGACUACUUCGAAACUUUUUCUCCUGUUGCAAAGAUUACCUCUGUUUGUCUCCUUAUCUCUUUGGCAGCAACUUAUAAUUGGCCGUUGCAUCAGUUGGAUGUGAAAAAUGCAUUUCUGCAUGGAGAUUUGGAAGAAGAGGUAUAUAUGGAACAAUCUCCUGGAUUUGUUGUUCAGGGGGAGAAUUCGCGGUUGGUUUGUCGUUUGAAAAAUCCUUAUAUGGAUUGAAACAGUUUCCGAGAGCUUGGUUUGCCCGGUUUAGUAGUGUUGUCAUGGAGUUUGGUCUGACAAGGUGUGGAGUAGAUCACUCUAUAUUUUAUCGGCAUUCUAAUGUUGGUAAAAUUUUAUUAGUUGUUUAUGUGGAUGAUAUUGUAAUUACAAGUGAUGAUGUUGUGGGGAUCCAGAAACUUAAAUCCAAUCUGCAGACAAACUUUCAGACAAAGGAUUUAGGUCAUCUACAGUAUUUUCUGGGUAUUGAGGUACUUCGGUCUAAAUAUGGGAUUUAUUUAUGUCAAAGGAAAUAUGUACUUGAUAUGUUGAGUGAAGUUGAGAUGUUAGGUUGUCGACCUGUGGAUACUUCUAUGGAUUCCAAUGUGAAAUUAGAAAGAGAUCAAGGUGCAUUACUUGAUGAUUCUAAGCAAUAUCGAAAACUUGUGGGUAAAUUAAAUUAUCUCACUGUAACGAGACCUGACAUUUCGUUUGCAGUGAGUGUUGUGAGUCAAUUUCUUGUUACCCCUCGUUCUAGUCAUUGGGAUGCUGUUAUACGAAUUCUCAGGUAUCUUAAGAGUGCUCCAGAAAAAGGGUUGCUGUAUCAAAAUCAUGGACAUACUGAUAUUGAAGGAUAUAGUGAUGCAGAUUAGGCUGGUUCUGCCUCAGAUCAAAGAUCGACCACAGAAUAUUGUGUGUUUGUUGGUGGUAAUUUAGUGUCGUGGAAGAGUAAGAAACAAACAGUUGUCUCCAGAUCAAGUACAGAAUCUGAAUACCGCGCUAUGACUCACACUGUGUGUGAAUUGGUUUGGUUGAAAAGCAUGUUACUUGAAAUUGGAUUUGAGCAUAAAACAGCCUAUGAAUUUAGUGUGUGAUAAUCAGGCAGCUGUCCAUAUUGCGUCUAAUCCAGUGUUUCAUGAAAGGACAAAACAUAUUGAAGUUGAUUGUCACUUCAUUCGAGAGAAAUUGCUUGACGGAGUCAUCAAGACAUCUCAUGUACCGUCUGUAGAUCAAUUAGCUGAUUUGUUUACCAAGAGUUUAGGGAGCUCUAGGGUGAAAUAUAUUUGUAACAAGUUGGGUGCUUAUGAUAUAUAUGCUCCAAUUUGAGGGGGAAUGUUAGGAGAAUAUUAGUAUUCUUAUAGAUAAUAUUAGUAAGGGUAUUCUUGUAAAUAGUUGAUUAGGUUUGUACUCCUAUAAAUAAUAGUUGGUCACUCAUAAUACAGUGACUAAAUAUUUUCCUCCCAAGAUACCUAUUGUCAGUACAAAAUACCGAGCAUAAAGUUGUCCUAAUGCAUCAAAAUACUUAAGAAGCACUCAGCUUCUCAAACUUCGUACAAAUACAAUUUCUCGCUAACGUUUUCAUUGCAUAACAGAGCUCCUCCAGAUUGCAUAGCAUGACACUCUUCCAGCUCUUUGUCAAGUUGAUCAGCUGAAGACAACAUCCAAGCAACCAUGCAAAACAAAUAACAUGAACCGAGUAUAUCCACAAGCACUUACCCUGCACUAGGGGUGGCAAUUUCCGACACGACUUGAAAACACGACACGAACCUAACACGAAAUUAAUGGGUUUGAUUUGAGAUUUUGCAGGCUCGGAUUAGAAUCAGGCCAAACUAGAUGAACCCGAAAAGCAAAUGGGUCGAAUUCGAGUCAACCACGAUAGCCCGUUUACAAAUUAAAAAUAAUUUAAUAAACAUAAAAAUUAUUUUAUCUAACUAAACUAAGUUAUUCUUUUUUUUUUCAAAGGCAUUAAUCACUUAAUCCUAAAUAAAUUUAUUUAACUUGUGUGAAGUUGAAAUUAUUAUAUUUGGACAAAUAAUGUAUUAUAUUAUUUUUUACUUUUAUACUGUUUUAAUUUAUUUUAUAUUUGGUUUGGGAUAAAACACUUUUACGGUGUUUUAAUUUAUUUUAGAUUUGGUUUGGAAUUAUUUAUUUAAAAAUUUCUUACUUGAUUAUGUAAUUAGUCUUGUGCGAAAGUGGUUUUAUUAAAAAUUACAAUGGUAAAUUAAUAAAUUAAAAUUAAAUUUCGGGUCAUUUCGGGUCUACCCGCCAAUCCGAAAUUUUCGGGUUCGGGUAAGGUAUCAUGACCCGUUUCAGGUUGCGGGUCAGGUUCGGGUCAGUGAAUUUUCUGUUAUACCCGAGUUUCAAUCCAACCCGCCAACCCGAUUUGGGCCAGAUUGCCACCCCUACCCUGCACCAUAACUUAUUGUCUAUGAGUAACAGCAGUGGGGUCUUUGGUAACAUGUGUUUUCCAACAAAAUUGGUAGCAAUAGAAGCAAAAUCACAUCAUGAAUUCGAUAUGGAUACAUAGCCAGAUUGGAAUUCCUAACAGAAAAAAUCAACAAAAAACAGUAAAAGAUGAAGAAAAAAAGGAUCCUAAAAAAAAAAAAAGGAAGAGCUGACUUGGGCCGGUUGUUUAAGACAAAUCAUUGUCAAACAAACGUAUAAUCUUGGCCAAAAUUAUCAACAUUAGAGUAAGAAGACCAGAAAAUUAUGAAAUAUAUAGCUUACCUAAAUAUGAAGGUUAGUAAAUUUAGCAACUAAAGAUGCAAACUACCAUUUGCAUUGUGCUCUUUGUGAACCAUCUGGUUCAAUGUACAAUAUAUCAAAUUCCUUCUAUAUCAAUGAUGUGAGCUGUCUCGAGCGCUUGGAAGCAUCUUGGGUCAACUCAUCUGUAUUGGUAGGCUCAUGGCUUGUAUAAGAACAUUGUUUCCGAAUGUGCUCUGACAAAAUUUCAUCUAAGAUAAAAUUCAAAGAACGAACUAGAAAAUUAUUGCUGAAAAAGUUGCUACUUUUUAUUUUGAGUUUGCAACCAUUAAUCAUUUCAUGUUUCUCUAUUUUUGUCUCCGUAAGAUUUUGUAGGUCAGCGUAUUCUUGUUUUAAUGGAACUUAAUACAUCAACAGAACAUCAUAUUGUGCACAUAAUAUUGAACUAAAACAAUGACAGGCUGGAGAAGUUAGGACUCUCAGAAGUUUUUACUGUCUUGGAUGUGUGCUGAAAUGCACAUUAAACUAUAUUCUAUAUGCAGCAUGUUUCUUUAUAAGAAACUCUUUGCAUUUGUCUCUAUUUAUGCCUAUGUUACCCUUUAGCUUUGAUUAGGUAACACAGAAGGUAAUUCAAGUAGAAAAUGAUAAAAAAGAGAAUAUACAGAAUGCUGGUAAAGUUGCAAUAGAAGAGACAGAAGUUUCGUCAUCUCAUGCGACGGUGUACUGCAUCACUCAUGUCAAUUUUUACUGGGUGGAAUAUUAAGCAGCUGCUAAUACAAUCAAUUUAUACUCACUCAUGCAAUGAACAGGUGAAAGUGACUCUCAUCUUGGAGCUUGUGGUCAUAAAAUCAACAACAAAUCGAGAAAUUUAGUGUUGGAUAGAUCAAAGUACUGUAGUACAAAACAUGAAAAUCUUGCAAGUAGAUUUUUGCCCUACAGAACUCUAGUCGCAGAAGUGCAGCAAUAGAGUAAUACAACCCAUUUUUUUACCUUGUAUUUUAGUAGUAGUAGAAGUACUGUGUUAGUGCUUGGUACUUUUUACUCUAUUAAUUAUUUCUUCACAAGGCGCCAGUGUUCCUACUACUAUAACUCUUUAGGCUGUUACAUUGUGGACAAAAAUGGAAUAGGAAUACUUGCUUAGACCAGAUUCAUCUUAUUAUGACCACUGUGACUUUUUAAGUUCUAUGGAGCAAAUGAGAUGACUGCAUCAUUCACAUCAGAGGUUAUACCUACUUGGUGAAAAGGUAUACAUGUUGAUCACAAUACUCGAUCAAGCAUAUUGAACAAGUGCUAUAGUUACCAGAACCAUGUAGAGUUAAGGAUUUUCUUGGUUUUCAACAAUAAUUAGUAUACUAGUAAUUCGUAUGUCCUUCAGAAUGCUCAGGAGCUGCAAACACCUUUGCAUUGAUCCCAAAUUCAGCACCCUUAACUCUCUCAACGCCCUUAACAAAUACAGCAAGAAAUAUGUUACCGAUCCGUGAUUUACCUCUAAAAGAUUUUUCUUCUAAGAUAUCCUGUUUCACACUGUUGCCUUACAUGCAUUGUUGAUUCAACAUGUGUAAAUGAAAAAAUGACCCAUAACAGAAGAUUCCUUUCAGCCCGAAAACACAUAUUUACUCAAAGUUUGAGUAAACAAAAUUCACAGGUACGAAAGGUAGCAACAACACCUAACCAUCUUACAUAAAUGAGCUAAAUCAGCUCAUUCUAAUACUAACUGUGUUUGGAUACACUACUGCCUCAAAUUCAGAAAUAUUUAAUAAGAAAGAUUAGCAAGGCUAUAUAUAUAUAUAUAUAUAUAUAUAUAUAUAUAUAUAUAUAUAGACACACACAACAACCUCAUCAAAUUGAAAUGCCAAUUAGUAUCGACACUAAAUGGUUGUUCUAAGAGAUCUUUACAGCUAAAUUUCAGAAAAGCAUUUACUCAACUGAGUAUUCAAAUUCAAAAUACUAAACUGGCUGGAUGGAAGUCAAGUACAGCAAAAUGCUACUCCCUCCGUCCCGUUUUGUUAGUCUUGAUUUUUUUUUUACACAGAUUAAGAAAGUGUAAUUAAUUUGGUUGGAAACAUAAAUUUAGAUUAAUAAUUUCCUAAAAUACCCUUAUGCUAAUCACGAAGAGUGCCAAUUAAUAUCAGUUACAGCUAAUGGGUUAGUAUUGGAAAAGCUCAAUGUAUUCAAUGUAGUGGGUUAGUAUUUAAUAACAAUGUAUUAAUAACAAGAUAUUUAAUAAGGGUAUUUUAGACAAUUUGAAAGAUUACUACAUUUCUUAAUGGGAAAGUGGACUACAAUUUGGGACGGACGAAAAAGGAAAAUAAGACUAACAAAGUGGGACGGAGGGAGUAUACAGUUGUUGCUGUAAGAAUGCUACUAAAUUUAAAACUAAACCCAUGCCUUCGGACCAGUUGGGAUCUUAAAAAGUAAUGCCCAAGAGUAGCUUUAACAUUAGCAGUAACAUGCAAGUAAAUAUCUUAUUGUAUCUUCUUACAAUUAAAAGAGAAAAGGGAAAAUUCAUGUAUCAACAGAUUCAUCGCAUCGGCCAUUAUUAUUCCCACCUAUAGGGAAUUGUGUUAAAUUAGAGAUUAAAUUCUAGAAAGUGGUACAUUAUGGAGAACUAUUUUCCUCAAUAGCAGUCAAUUUUUGCCUUGUAAACCACUUAGAUUUUUAAAAUCCUAUUACCUGGGUAGAUGUUAGACCAACCACUAGGCCAAUGGCUCAGUGGCCACCAGGGAGGGACUUAAGUCCCUCCUUGGGCUGUUGGUGAGAGUUCAAACCUCACCAGUAGCGAAAAAAAUCUAAGAGUUGUGCCAUAGCACUCCCUUGGUCUAGUUGGGUCUGUAUACCCACUAGCCCCUACAACAGCCUCCUUAGGCUUCCCUUCCCCCUAGAUUAGGAUAGAGUAGGUUAUACAAAUGUAUCGUUGCUGACAAAAAAAAAGGGUAGAUGUUAGACCUAAAUCAAUGCCUUACAAUUUCCCUUGCUCCUCCAGAUACUCCUCUGGAUUCUUUAAGUCCCAAUCGAAAGGCAAAAGGUCACAUAUCUAUACUUUUUGUGCCAUAUAAAUGAGUUUGUUUGCCACCUAUAUUUGUUUCUAAUGGAAAAAACAUGAGAUCAAUGUUCAAUACUUAUAAGCCACAAGCGACCUUAAGCAAUCAUGCCAACAGUUGAGAUGUUUUUGAACUAACUUCCCUCAGAAGAUAAGAAAGAAAAUGGUAGAACAAGCACCAAGCACUACAUAGACUACUAUUUAGAAGAAUUUAUUUUGUGCUUUGUACAUAGUUUUAGCAAUAGCAAAACGACUCAAUCUUAACAAUUUUCACAAAGAGAUGAACCAUGUAUAGGUAGAAUCAAUUAUCUUUAGAAAUGAGAAAGAAAUUUGGCAAAAAUAUACUAGUCUAAAAACUUGUAAAAAUUAGAAAAACAAACCAAUCUUCUUUCUUACUCAUCGACCAAGUAUGCAAGAAUUGCUCUGUAAUGAGUCAAAUGAGUAAUUGCAAUGUAAACUCAAUCUCAAUAACAAAACAUAACCAACCAAUCCCCCUUUCCUCCAACCCAAUUCGAACACUAACAAUCAACAGUAGCUAGUAUAUUUGGAAGCAUAAUACAACUUCUCACAAGUAUAAAACGAAAGGAACUUCAUAAUUAUAUUAGCCUGGACAGCAUAUUUUGUUCUAUUUGCCUACCUGUUUAACGUCUCUUUUGGCUUGCAAAGUUACUUGCAGCAUCACAGAUGACAUUCUCUGGAAAAAUCUUCAAGACACCACGGGUUUUUUCACAGAUCAGCUCAGGAAUUUGCGCUUUCGAGGUGGAUUUGAUGCUAUUGAAAUUGGGCAAGGAAGGGGCAAAGACCUUCUAUUAAAGAGAGACGGAGAGAAGGUGGAGGGGAAACAAGUAGUAGAGGAAGAGAAGGAGAGGAGUAGUGGACUUGCUGGUGGGGAGGAGAAGGUGAUAGUGGAG